GACGAACGCUGGCGGCGUGCUUAACACAUGCAAGUCGAACGGAAAGGCCCUGCUUUUGUGGGGUGCUCGAGUGGCGAACGGGUGAGUAACACGUGAGUAACCUGCCCUUGACUUUGGGAUAACUUCAGGAAACUGGGGCUAAUACCGGAUAGGAGCUCCUGCUGCAUGGUGGGGGUUGGAAAGUUUCGGCGGUUGGGGAUGGACUCGCGGCUUAUCAGCUUGUUGGUGGGGUAGUGGCUUACCAAGGCUUUGACGGGUAGCCGGCCUGAGAGGGUGACCGGCCACAUUGGGACUGAGAUACGGCCCAGACUCCUACGGGAGGCAGCAGUGGAGAAUAUUGCACAAUGGGCGGAAGCCUGAUGCAGCAGCGCCGCGUGCGGGAUGACGGCCUUCGGGUUGUAAACCGCUUUCGCCUGUGACGAAGCGUGAGUGACGGUAAUGGGUAAAGAAGCACCGGCUAACUACGUG
rnacentral:rRNA from 1 species